UAUUGUGAUUACAGUAAAAGUAUCAGAAAUGAUUUCAUUGGGAAACAGAUGAGAAUUCUGUGCAGUACCGCUGCUGUGUUGGUUGAGUGUAUUCUAAGAUGUCACUGGGAAACUGGGAAGACGGAAUAUGCGCUAUAAGAGAGAAAACCUUAUUGAAGACCUGAGCCAGAAGACCAGCUUUUAUUAGUUUCUAAGC
rnacentral:ncRNA from 2 species